GUAAAGUCUGCAAGUGGAUAUUCAGACCCCCUUGAGGCCUUCGUUGGAAACCGUAUUUUUUCAUAUUAUGCUAGACAGAAGAAUUCUCAGUAAUUUCCUUGUGUUGUGUGUAUUCAACUGACAGAGUUGAACUUUCAUUUAGAGAGAGCAGAUUUGAAACACUGUUUUUGUGGUAUUUGCAAGUGGAGAUUUCAAGCGCUUUGGGGCCAAAGGCAGAAAAGGAAAUAUCUUCGUAUAAAAACUAGACAGAAUCAUUCUCAGUAACUGCUCUGUGAUGUGUGCGUUCAACUCUCAGAGUUUAACUUUUCUUUUCAUUCAGCAGUUUGGAAACACUCUGUUUGUAAAGUCUGCACGUAGAUAUUUUGACCACUUAGAGGCCUUCUUUGGAAACGGUUUUUUCUCAUGUAAGGCUAGACAGAAGAAUUCCCAGUAACUUCCUUGUGUUGUGUGCAUUCAACUCACAGAGUUGAACGUUCCCUUAGACAGAGCAGAUUUGAAACACUCUAUUUGUGCAAUUUGCAAGUGUAGAUUUCAAGCGCUUUAAGGUCAAUGGCAGAAAAGGAAAUAUCUUCGUUUCAAAACUAGACAGAAUCAUUCCCACAAACUGCGUUGUGAUGUGUUUGUUCAACUCACAGAGUUUAACCUUUCUGUUCAUAGAGCAGUUAGGAAACGCUCUGUUUGUAAAGUCUGUAAGUGGAUAUUCUGACAUCUUGUGGCCUUCGUUGGAAACGGGAUUUCUUCCUAUUCUGCUAGACAGAUGAAUUCUCAGUAACUUCCUUGUGUUGUGUGUAUUCAACUCACAGAGUUGAACGAUCCUUUACACAGAGCAGACUUGAAACACUCUUUUUGUGGAAUUUGCAAGUGGAGAUUUCAGCCGCUUUGAGGUCAAUGGUAGAAAAGGAAAUAUCUUCGUAUAGAAACAAGACAGAAUGAUUCUCAGAAACUCCUUUGUGAUGUGUGCGUUCAACUCACAGAGUUUAACCUUUCUUUUCAUAGAGCAGUUAGGAAACACUCUGUUUGUAAAGUCUGCAAGUGGAUAUUCAGACCUCCUUGAGGCCUUCGUUGGAAACGGGAUUUCUUCAUAUUCUGCUAGACAGAAGAAUUC
rnacentral:lncRNA from 1 species